CCAUAAAAAAACCAUCCUAUCAUGUUUUCUGGACUAAUAUUUGACAGUUUUGUAGUGUUAAUUGGUUUAUAAGCUUGUAUUGUAAUCUGCAUAUUUAUUUAUUACACAUUGAGCAUUAGUAUGGCUUAAGAAAGAUGUAUAAUGUUGAAAGCCCCUUUAGACUCAAAGUUUUCAUUAUUUCGUCAGACACAAUGGAAAUAUAAAUUUUUGUAGCUAUUAAUUUAUUGAAAAUAUGGACAUACAGUGUUAUACUACCUCUCUGAUGGUGCAUGUGACACGUACUGCCUAAUCUACUGUUAAUAAACUGGAGAAAUGCAGCUAAAAUGUGUGACUAAUAUGAUAUAUGAUAUGACUUGCAGGAAGAAGAUUUGACAACCAUUCAUGGUCACCGUGACAGCCCUUUAAAUUCUUCAGGAAAUGGACCAGAGCUCUUCUGACUCUACAGUGAUCCUUGAACUAAGUUCCGUCCCUGAAAAGGAGGACAUAAGUGUUCCUGAACUCAAGAGAGCAGAAAGUGUAUUUGUUCAUCAACAAUGGCGAGAAAGAAGUGGAGCACCGAGGAGGUCCAGGCUGUGGAGCGC